UGCAGUAUUUUGCUUUCAUUUAAGACGUGUUUUCGUGGGAGGAGGCGUUAAGGGACAUCUUAAGAGAUAUAUUUGCAUGUUGUCAGUUGCGAGGACAAAAAAAUAAACCAUUCCUGUGCAGACGCUGACAUUGAUUAGGAGGAUGAAUGCAGUUCCUGCCCAUGGAGCAUGCCCUGAGGAGUUGCUGACUGGUAUUGAGGAUGGCAGUCUGGAGAAACAAGGGGUGAUCUGGAGUCACCAGAUCCCUACAUCGAUCUUAGCAAAGGUCUCAUAGGAAAGGCUUCCCAAAGCAGGAGCAAGCAAGAGAAGAAUUUCACAUUCAGUUUGUGGGUGAGAACCUUGUGUCAAAAACAAGUAUCUGAAAUUUAAAUAAAGACAAUAACAAAGCUAUGAAAAUAAA